CCCCUCUUUCUCUUUCCCUCUCUCGCUCUCUUCUCUCUCUCUCUCUUUCUCUCUCACGAGACUGGAAAGGGAGAGAGCAUGGUGGAACCGAGUGCCGAAUGUUACUGGGUAUCGCGUGUAUACGUAACUGUUUGUGUGAGAUCCGGAGAAAGAGAAAGGUCCGAGAGGGAAGAGAGAGAGGCAGAGAGAAAGAUAGAGUGAGGGAGUGAGAGAGAGAAGGAAGAGCGAUAGAGGGAGGAGAUGAGUCAAAGAGCUGGAGCCGGACAACGCAAGUCAAGCGGUAACGUGUAAGGAGAGACCUCGACGUGGGUGUAACCACUGGUGAACGUGUGUAUAUACACGAACAAGAGCGAGUCUCUACCGCGCAACGAGAUUGCAAAGAAACGAUUUGUGCAGAAACGAAAUGCCAUUUGUCGGUGUGCGCAAGGCGAGAGAGAACGGGGGAGAAGGAGAUCACAGAGAUGGGAGAAUGCAAGAGAGAGAGAGAGAGAGAGAGAGAGAAAAGGAACGAGGAGGGAGGAUCGUGCGAAAGCAACAGAGACGGAGUGAGCCAUAAAUGCAAUUGGAAACCUUUAGCGGAAAUAUCAUUGGAACAUCCGGUACUCUCCGCGCGAGCACGCACGUACGCGCGCGCGCGAAUAAAACUAUAUUAUAAUUGAAUCUUCUUAAAUCAUCUAAGAGUAGUCGAUACAACCGAGAAACUUCGGUACUAUCUGUUUAAAAAAAAAAAAAAAGAAAAAGAAAGGAACAAUAACUUUUGCAUCCGUACGUUUUAUCUUCCGACUCAGGUUGAAAAUUGACUCCCAUGCGAAAUGAUCCCUCAUGCGUGUGUUCUUUCGUUCUCUUGUAUGUAUUUCUUUCGGAGAAGCUCUUAAAUGACGAAAGGAAAUACAAGUUGGGGAGCAUUUUUU